rnacentral:lncRNA from 1 species
AUGUCCGGAGCACCUUCGAGUUUGACGAAACCGAUUCAAAAUCCAGAAAAGAUCCUUAAGAACUCAGGUUGCUGUUACAUGAGGUUAUCACUGAUUGCCGAUCGAUGCUAUCAUUCUAUGGUUAUGAAGAUUGAAGUUGUCAAGAGAGAUGAAAGCUGCUGCUCCAUAUCAAAAGGAACUCCUCAAAUGCCACAAACGCUAGCUCUGGAUGCCGUUUUUUGUGGAUCAUCACCAGUAGCAUGA